rnacentral:rRNA from 1 species
UGCUACCCAUGCUAUCCUGAACAAGCCCAAUCCCGUCUGAUCUCGGAAGCUAAGCAGGGUCGGGCCUGGUUAGUACUUGGAUGGGAAACCACCUAGGAAGACCAGGUGCUGUAGGAG